rnacentral:rRNA from 1 species
UACGAGGGGUGCAAGCGUUGCUCGGAAUUAUUGGGCGUAAAGGGUAGGUAGGUGGUCUCAUUUGUCCGGGGUGAAAGCCUUGAGCUUAACUCAAGAAGUGCCCCGGAAACGGUGAGACUGGAGUCCUGGAGAGGUCGUGGAAUUCCCGGUGUAGCGGUGAAAUGCGUAGAGAUCGGAGGAACACCAGAGGCGAAAGCGGCGACCUGGACAGGCACUGACACUCAACUACGAAAGCGUGGGAGCAAACAGG